UACGUAGGGUGCGAGCGUUGUCCGGAAUUAUUGGGGCGUAAAGGGCUCGUAGGCGGUUUGUCGCGUCGGGAGUGAAAACACCGGGCUUAACUCGGUGCUUGCUUUCGAUACGGGCAGACUAGAGGCAUGCAGGGGAGAACGGAAUCCUGGUGUAGCGGUGGAAAUGCGCAGAUAUCAGGAGGAACACCGGUGGCGAAGGCGGUCUCUGGGCAUGUCCUGACGCUGAGGAGCGAAAGUGUGGGGGAGCGAACAGG
rnacentral:rRNA from 1 species